UACGUAGGGUGCAAGCGUUGUCCGGAAUCAUUGGGCGUAAAGAGCGUGUAGGCGGCUUGGUAAGUCCGCUGUGAAAGUCCAGGGCUCAACCCUGGAAUGCCGGGUGGAAACUGUCAGGCUCGAGUCCGGAAGAGGCGAGUGGAAUUCCUGGUGUAGCGGUGAAAUGCGCAGAUAUCAGGAGGAACACCAAUGGCGAAGGCAGCUCGCUGGGACGGUACUGAUGCUGAGACGCGAAAAGCGUGGGGGAGCAAACAGG
rnacentral:rRNA from 1 species